CUGCACUGGAAUCUAAGAUAAAGUACAUCUAUUUCAUCCCCAUCUCUCCUCUUCACCAACCCCUGUCUCCUUCAUCCUAAAGACUCUAGGGUUGAAACUUCAUGUGAGGUCUAAUCUAGUGUGAAUGCCAUAACAAAGGGCAGUCCAGCUUAUCAUGGUGUUAAUUAUUCUAGUUGUUCUUACAAAUUAGAGGCAUACCUGCAUGUGGGCCUCAUGGUACAAUGGAAAAAAGUCUCAGGACAGGAAGUAUGUUGACUGUGCAAAUAGCUAUAGGACCUUAACCAAGUCACUUCUCUGGUCCUUAGUUUACUUACUUGAAGUCUAAGUAAGUAAAACCUGAAAUCCAGUUUUAAAACCUGAAAUACCUUAAGCCUCUCGGUUAUCAUUGUAACCCUGACCACUGCUGUUUGUUCCAGAAAAUCCAAAGCCAAAGGAACCUGAAAACAUCAAUCAAACUCAAACUCCAGAGACCUGCUAUGAGCCCCAAGGUUAGUUGAAACCAAAGGGCCAACUUCAGAAUUGAGGUUAAAGCAAACUCUGUCAUUGUCAGAUGGGGCCCAAAAUCAUUCUAUUUCAAAAGAAAACAAAAACCAUACCUGAGCCCAGUUGAUUCCCUCUGACUCUCUAAUCAGAGUUUGCCUGGCUGCAAGCAUGGGUUUUUCCAAAGCUUGCCUUACUGGAUGUGAAUAGCAGCCUUAGGUCUCUGAAGGCUAUCUGGCACCAAGCUGGGCUUCAGACCAGGAAGAAUGAUGGUGAUUCAGGGCAGGCUGGUUUCGGUGCUGUGGGUCCAAUUUCUGGAAGGAAAUUUAGUCUCUUGCUGAAGCCACCAUCUUCAUUCUCAUUCAAUUGCAGUGCAAGCCGGGAAGGUGAACAUGAUGUCCCUUGCAGUGCUGGGGCUCCGAAUGCUGUUUGCCAAGAGUGUUGCCAUCAAUUUUCUCUUGACUGCCAAGUUAUUUUUCUUUUAAGGCUGACCGGCAUGAGAAGGCUACACGCCCUGAAAGAAAUCAAAAGCCUACAGAGGUGCUAUCUCCUAGGCUUUCAACCUCCUGGUGGUUUCAGUUGACCUGUCCCAGCCUUGCUUAAAUGGCUGUUUCCCAAACCAGUUUUCCUUUAAAGGCAACAAACCCAGCUUAUCCUUCAGCCUGAUGAAAGACAGAAGUCCUGGAGAGUGGGGGCUUAUGGUCCCAACUGUUUUACAUGCUGCUUUAUAAAAGGAUAUAGAGAUAUGAAGGUAUAUAGGACACAUUUUUUUUCCUACAACUGACACACUUUGAAAAUGGUGUUUUGUUCCUUUGACAUUCUUUGCCUCCAGAAGUAGAAAGCAGGAGCCAUCGGGUUCCUAGCUCCAUUCUCCAAGAGGAAAAUAGAUCCUGGGCUUCUACCGAAACAUAAAAGGCUCUGCUCAACCCAGCACUAGGUUUGCCCCAAACUAGCGUUCUCAUCCACAAAGGCACUUUCUGCUUUUCCUAGUAUUUGACAAACAAAACUACAUUUGACUUCCUAACACUCUCUGCCCAGGCAAUGGGGUUUGUCCAAUCUCAUCUAAAUACUCUCAGAGUUAUUAGCAGAGAUCAGAGUAAAAUGCAGAGGAAAUGGGUUUCUCUCUAUUAAUUGAUUUAGCGAACAUGAAUUACUCCAAGUUCUAGGCAUUGUACUGAGGGUGCAAAAAUACAUAAGACGUGGGUCUUGCUUUCAAGCAACUCAUUGUGCAAGUGUUCUGGGAGGGAGGGACAGGAAUGAGACCCCGAGAUUUCCCCUGUAAGAACAGUGUCUUCAUGACCCCCUGCCUGCCCAUCCAUGCCCAGGAAGUUUGAAGGCACUGGACCUUUGGUAUUGAUGGUUUUCUGCCAUUCUUCUUUGUCUCUAUUGCAUGUAUUAAAGUGCAUUGUGUGUGCCUUGCUUCUGGCUUUCCUCAUUGCGGACCAUCGCAGGGGGUAAGGGGAGCUGUGAAUUCACUGGUAGCCAGACAAAAACCACACUGAGUUUAUAGGUCACACCACGGCUUCCUGGGCCCCCAGCCUGCAGGCUCCUGCCUCGGGGACCCACCCCUGGGUUUCCUGCUACUCCAACAACAUCAGCGUCCCUGGUGUGGCCUCUGAGCUCUGCUCCUCCCACCUCAGCAAGGCCAGCUUUUUCCGGGUGCACAAACCCAGGUAGCAAAUGUCUAGCAACCGAGCACUGUGGGUUCCUCAGCACUGAUGUGGGCUGUCAGGCGGGGGCUCAUGAGGUUACAAGUGAAAGAGCAACGUUCAUCCACAACUGCCCCAUCUUUGCCAUCUGCAGACUCCCAUGUCACGUCCUCACAACCCAAACCAAAGAAAGGAGGCAGUGGCAUUCUGAGUCAAUAAGUUUAGGACAAUCUAGAUGGAUAAGCCAGGUCCAUCCAGGGGAAAACUAUUAAAAGAUUCCACACAUCUUCACCUCAUGUGCAUCAAGAAUGCCUGUUUCCAAAACAUUCCCAUCUGUUACCUUGGGCCAUUCUUAAGAAUGUAUCUCUGAAGUUGCUAAGAACAAAACAACACAUCCUCAUUUUUCAGAUGGAAAAAAAUAUGUCCCCCAGAAAAGGUAUGUACCUUGUUCAAGGUUAUUCAGAGAGGCAGCGAUAUUUCUGGGAGCAGAACAAAGUUAUCAGGAGUGCCAGCCCCAAGUUCCUUCUACAAGAGCACAGCACAUCCCUGAGACAGGGAAGAGGGCUUGUUUUGAAGUUCAGCUAGGCUGAAC
ensembl:lncRNA